ensembl:lncRNA
GUUUAUUCGGUUCUGUGUAACCGAACCCGUUCUGUUUCUGUAUUGUGUGUAUGUGUGUAGUUAACAGUGUUAACACCUGUGUUUCAGGUGUAUCAGUAUGAAGCAGGCGGUGACGGCGCACUGAUUCACUCUCGGAGCUCGGUUCACUAAUGACCGAAUCACCGAGGAACCGACCAAAGAUAACUCACACCCGCACGGAGAAGAAGAACAAGAGGAGGAGAAGAUGAGCUGGAGUGGGGCAAAGAGAACUGCAUUCAGAUCAAACGGAUACAAGAGGUGGCGAUUGCAGGCACAUUUUAUCCGAACUGCUUCCUCCAGGGAACUCUAUGGAAACGACCCCAGGACCACCAUAGUGGUGUGUAAUCUCCCUCCAUUUGCAUUCCUCUACUAUAAACAGCUCCAGUCUCUCUUCAGACACUGUGGUUAAAUCAAAUCCAUCUCCUUUGACAGCUCCAGGGCCUAUGUAGAGUUCUACCGCUCGUCAAUGAGAGGUUCUGGCGUUCUCCCAGAGGUCUCUCUGUCUCUCCUCCUCACGCAGCAGAGACUUCCUCUCCAUCUCAACGUUUAACCCGCUGGAGAGGUGGAGACUUGGGCAGGGGGGGUGAAUGUGGAUUUUCAGAAUCAGUCAGUGAGCCCUGUCGGGGUUCUGAGCAGCUCCAUUGAGUUGGAGAAUCUUCCGUCUAACCCUGUCUUUAUCGUCAAUAUCACCGAGGUGUCUGUUCCGCCUCUUUCACUUUCAGUGCACAAAUAAAAAAGAAGCAGUGGCUCCUGUUGUGUGUGUGUGUGUGUGUGUGUGUGUGUGUGUGCACUAACAGGAGGUCCAGGUGCAGCCUUUGGAUAUUGAUGAAGAUUUACUGCCCCUGCAAGACCUUCCUCAACUGCGUAGUCUGGAG